CCCCUAACCCUUAUUAUUUAUUCAUUUGGCAGUGAAUCAUGUCCAUUAAAGGUUUUGGCUGUGUUAGAAAGAAAAACGGGGUGAAAGCAAGCCUGGAGAGACUUUUGGGCAUAUUAUAUUAAACAUGGUGUUUAUGUAACGUUAUGAGAUCUUAACCUAGUAUGUUUCUUGUGUUAUUAGUAUAUUAAAUUAAAUACGGUGUUUAUGUAAUGUUAUGAGAUUUUAACCUAGUAUGUUUGUGUUAUUAGUAUAUUAAAUUAAAUAUGGUGUUUAUGUAAUGUUAUGAGAUUUUAACCUAGUAUGUUUCUUGUGUUAUUUUUCAAUGAUGUUUCUCAUUGAUAUAUACACUUGGAUGAUAAAUCCCAUGGUAUGAUAUAAAUCUAUGUAGUCUUGAAUCUUUAGCUUCAUUUAUUUCUUAAUUUAAUCCGCUUUUGGUUUCAAAUACUGAACAUCUGAGACUUUGCCGUAGAAUAGAAAAUAAAAGAUAUUACACACCAAGUGGGAAAGGAUUUAAUGCUAGGGAGGCCUCAUUGUUAGCUAUUAGAUGAAAGUGAAAGACUUAGAAUAAAACAUAAUUUAUACCAAGGCAUGGUCAUCCUCAAGAUGAAAGGUCUAUUUUCACCGUCAUACAUGGGGAAAUCUUUUAUGGAUUUAAUGCAAGCGAGAACUCCCUUCGUCACAAAAUAAUUGUGGCAUUUUACUAUUGCACACUUGCCGAUGCACAAUUUUGAUCAUUAAUAUCUUUACUUGUGAAUUAUUAAAAAUUGAUAUUUUGGUACUACUUAUCGAGAUAAAUCUAAAAAGAUCUCAUAUGCUAAUAUUUGUUUUUAUACAUUACUAAAAAAAUAAGUUCCAAAAUUUAUGUGUGUGGGACUCUUAACAGGUUGACCAUUCGAAAUAAGUUCCAAAAUGAAAAUCAAAUUGAUGAGGAACAUAUUGCUAUCGA
rnacentral:lncRNA from 1 species